AUAAUCGAUCAUCGUUCACGAUAAUCGAUUAACUAACGGCCAGAUUUCAAAAUUUUACCGUUUUAGAGCCGUUUGAACCUUAUCAAAUCAGAUUUUUUCACUCAAAACACUCUCAUUUUUCACCUCUAUAAAUAGGGAAGUCUUCCACUCAAUUUAUUCAAUCACAACUCUAUUCUAUUCAUCUUAUCAAAUCAGAUUUUUUUCACUCAAAAACUCUCUUUUUUUUACCUCUAAAAAUAGGGAAGUCUUCCACUCAAUUUAUUCACUCACAACUCUAUUCUAUCCACAAAACUCUCUCCAAAAGCUUCAAGAAGUCUUCAAAAUUCUCUUUAGCUUCCUGUUAUUAUUCACAUGGCCAAUAGAAAUACCAAGCGAUCUCGUGCCGGAAAGAACGUUGCUUCUUCUUCAAAUGUCCCUCAAGAUGUAUUUUGCUACCAAGAUG
rnacentral:lncRNA from 1 species